AAUGCAUAGGAAUCUACCUAUUUCCNUGGGAUAGCCACUAGAAAUGGUGGGUAAUACUGUAUAAUCCCUGCGGGGGAAAGAUUUAUCGCUAUUAGAUGAGCCUAUGUUAGAUUAGCUAGUUGGUAGGGUAAAGGCCUACCAAGGCAGUGAUCUAUAGCUGGUCUGAGAGGAUGAUCAGCCACACUGGAACUGAGAUACGGUCCAGACUCCUACGGGAGGCAGCAGUGGGGAAUAUUGGACAAUGGGCGCAAGCCUGAUCCAGCUAUGCCGCGUGAGUGAGGAAGGCCUUAGGGUUGUAAAACUCUUUCAGUGGGGAAGAUAAUGACGGUACCCACAGAAGAAGUCCCGGCAAACUCCGUGCCAGCAGCCGCGGUAAUACGGAGGGGGCAAGCGUUGUUCGGAAUUAUUGGGCGUAAAGGGNAUGUAGGCGGUUCGGUAAGUUAAAGGUGAAAUGCCAGGGCUUAACCCUGGAGCUGCUUUUAAUACUGCCAGACUCGAGUCCGGGAGAGGAUAGCGGAAUUCCUAGUGUAGAGGUGAAAUUCGUAGAUAUUAGGAGGAACACCAGUGGCGAAGGCGGCUAUCUGGUCCGGUACUGACGCUGAGGUGCGAAAGCGUGGGGAGCAAACANGAUUAGAUACCCUGGUAGUCCACGCUGUAAACGAUGAGUGCUGAAUGUGGGGACGUUUUGUCUCUGUGUUUGUAGCUAACGCGUUUAGC
rnacentral:rRNA from 1 species